AAGGCGAUGAUGCAUAGCCGAGUUGAGAGACUGAUCGGCCACAUUGGGACUGAGACACGGCCCAAACUCCUACGGGAGGCAGCAGUAGGGAAUCUUCCACAAUGGACGCAAGUCUGAUGGAGCAACGCCGCGUGAGUGAAGUAAGGGUUUCGGCUACGUAAAGCUCUGUUGUUGGUGAAGAAGGACGAGGGGUAGUAACAACCUUUGUUUGACGGUAAUCAAUUAGAAAGUCACGGCUAACUACGUGCCAGCAGCCGCGGUAAU
rnacentral:rRNA from 1 species